GGGAAAUCCGGAAUUCGGGCAAUGCGCACGCUCCUUGCAUCUCUGCCCCUCAAGAUGGUGGAGCAUGCAAGAAGCGUGACAUCGUCCUGUCUCCCCGGCCACGAGGUCCGCAUGGGCCUAAGCUUCUACACAUAGGACUACAAAGGAAAUGGACUUACAGAUGCUUGCUUUCACAUCAGAAAUAGUACACAGUGAUCUGUGAACAAUCCCAUUGGGCAGGCUGACCCGUACACGCACUGCCCCGUUGCUAGGCGACACAAGUUGUUUCAAAAUGGCGGCCCAAGGCUGACAACAAAGGCUUUUCAGAGUGACGAUCAACCUCGUGGAAAGAGACGAAUACUACAAACGAUGCCCGUGAAGAAGAAAGGAAAGAAAAAGGAAAAGAAAGGGGGGGAAAAGGUGGAGACGCCAGUGGGCCCGGUUGACCCCCUCAAGCCGGACUAUCUUGCCCCACCCCCGAAACCAGGCGAGAAGGAAGAUUGACUUCAACGAGUUCCUGGAGACUGUGAUAGACCAGCAGGGAGACAACAGAGAUGUGUACGAGGAAAUACUGAAGGGCUUCAACAUGUUCGACACAG